rnacentral:lncRNA from 1 species
ACAUCUUUUAGGGGAAGUGACAAGAUGCUCUGGUCAAACCUGAAUUUCAGAGCCUUCAAAAUGAAAUUAUCCUUCCAGGGGAAGCACAUUGCCACCAAAUACAUCACUCACUACCUGUUCCUGUUCCAGUUCUUAAAAAUUUAAGGGCUAUCUAAGAAAAGUUUAAGCAAAACCCUCAUUCCAAACAUGCGACCUUAUAAUAAGAACUUCCUUUAAAGAUGAGCAGCAAGGUUGGGUAUCUGAUUUCACUAAGUAAUAUUCUAUUGUGGUCAGAAAUGGGUAAUUUGCAUCAUUUGGUCACUAUCAAUAUUUGUGUUGGAGUCUGCAAGAUAUUUCAACAAAGUAAGCCAAACCACUAUCUUAGGGGAUUGUUGCUGGACUUUGGAAUAUAAGGCUGAACAGUGAUGUGAAGUCAUGUUUGGGGGCUGGAAGAAGUGAUAAAUGCAAAGGUUGGUGCUAAAUUAGGAACCCCUUGAAGGAGCAAGCUGAUUAAAAAAAAAAGCUGGCAGACAAGUAUAUCUUUUAAUUUAUUUGCAGUGUUGCUAUAUUAUAGAGAUGAUUUCCUAUGGGAAAACCCAUCAAAAAGCCAAACCUUUAUUGUUAUUUUUCCUUAAAAAUACUGAGCUAUAAGAAGAUUCAGAGAGUGGCAUUAAUUUGGGCAUCAGAACAUUUUCUUUUGUAUCCCUAGUGUUAUUGAUUUGAAAGAGUUACCUUUUCAGACAGAUGGCUGAACAAAAGUAAAUGAUUAACGGGAAAUUUGAUGGUUGAGAAAAAGGAACGAUAUGCCUAAAGCAUUUUGAGAAUAUACCCCUCAUCCAUCAGCCACCUCUGGGUAAAGAAACACAAAUACCAAAGCCUGAGCUCCUUAACCUUUUGUUCCAGAGGGCAGACAUUUUUAAGAAAGGUGAAUGUUAGAGAAGGUUACCUGAUGAGCAAGCUUCUUUCCCAUAAUUCAGAGAACUGUGAAUGUACUUAGAAAUACACUACAGGUCUUCACCAGAUGAACUAGAUUUUAUAAUUUUAAAAUAUAAUACUGAAAGCUAGUUUGAAGUUUCAGAAGCCAUGAAUUAUGGGGAAGGAGUAGUUUUUUAUUUUAUUUUAUUUUUCUGAUCUCAAGUUGUUUGUCCUGUUGUAUGUUCAAUACUUGGGGAGAUAAGAGCGAGGUACAGCUGUGGUUUUCAGACCAUAUUCAGUGGUGCCCCUGAGGGUCUCUUGUGAACAGAAGGGAAAAAGAGUGUGAUGAAGGUGAACUCUGCCUAUCUGAACCUCUGUCAACCUCCAGUCAGAAUAUCUGGCUUCUAGUAUUGUUCCUUUUAACUGGAAGUCUCUGUGGCCAUUAAAAACUUGGGAACGUUGGAUUAAAUGACCACUUUAGGACUUUAAACAGUCUCAAAUAUGGGAAAUUUUAUAGCCAACCACGGCUGUGAGUCCCUGGCUUUUGCCGUACUGAGUAUGCUCACAGAGAUAGGGAGAUAGGUGGCCAGAAGACAGGGUCAUUUAAUUUUAAUUGAGCAUAAAUCAUUUUGAAAGAAAAAUGCAAGGAAUUGUUGUAUGACAGCCAUGCAUUAUAGAUCCUUACAUGCGACAUUUUCCUAAAGUGGUUGAGAAUGACCUGAUCUUUGUUCACCGUCUCAGUGACAAGGCGUGGAGUGACUGGGCUCUUCAUAUGCAGUGGAAUUUUUGCAUCUCUAGGUUUGCAGAGGCAGGAGUUACCGUUUUUGUUCAUUGACCUAUCAGAAAAAAGCAAAUCCUUUGGACAAUGUUGACACAGACAGGGGUACGGUCUGAGACUCAAGCUAA